GCUGGGCAUGGUGGCAGGUGCCUGUAAUCCCAGCUACUUGGGAGGCUGAGGCAGGAGAAUCGCUUGAACCCAGGAGGCAUAGGUUGCAGUGAGCCGAGAUCAUACCACUGCAGUCCAGCCUGGGAGACAGAGCGAGACUCUGUCUCAA
ensembl:misc_RNA Metazoa_SRP Metazoan signal recognition particle RNA